rnacentral:rRNA from 1 species
UUGGAGGGCAAGUCUGGUGCCAGCAGCCGCGGUAAUUCCAGCUCCAAUAGCGUAUAUUAAAGUUGUUGCAGUUAAAAAGCUCGUAGUUGAAUUUCGGGAUCAGAUUGUCGGUCGUGCCUCGGUACGCACUGGCAUUAUUGGUUCCUACCUUCUGAAGAACCGCGAUGUCAUUAAUUUGGUGUCGUGGGGAAUCUGGACUGUUACUUUGAAAAAAUUAGAGUGUUUAAAGCAAGCUUACGCUUGAAUACAUUAGCAUGGAAUAAUGAAAUAGGACGUUUGAUUCUAUUUUGUUGGUUUCUAGGAUUGACGUAAUGAUUAAUAGGGAUAGUUGGGGGCAUUAGUAUUCAAUUGUCAGAGGUGAAAUUCUUGGAUUUAUUGAAGACUAACUACUGCGAAAGCAUUUGCCAAGGAUGUUUUCAUUAAUCAAGAACGAAAGUUAGGGGAUCGAAGACGAUCAGAUACCGUCGUAGUCUUAACCAUAAACUAUGCCGACUAGGGAUCGGAUGAUGUUAAUUUUUUAAUGACUCAUUCGGCGCCUUACGGGAAAC